rnacentral:rRNA from 1 species
AGUGAACGCUGGCGGUAGGCCUAACACAUGCAAGUCGAACGGCAGCACAGUAAGAGCUUGCUCUUACGGGUGGCAAGUGGCGGACGGGUGAGGAAUACAUCGGAAUCUACUUUUUCGUGGGGGAUAACGUAGGGAAACUUACGCUAAUACCGCAUACGACCUACGGGUGAAAGCAGGGGAUCUUCGGACCUUGCGCGAUUGAAUGAGCCGAUGUCGGAUUAGCUAGUUGGCGGGGUAAAGGCCCACCAAGGCGACGAUCCGUAGCUGGUCUGAGAGGAUGAUCAGCCACACUGGAACUGAGACACGGUCCAGACUCCUACGGGAGGCAGCAGUGGGGAAUAUUGGACAAGGGGCGCAAGCCUGAUCCAGCCAUACCGCGUGGGUGAAGAAGGCCUUCGGGUUGUAAAGCCCUUUUGUUGGGAAAGAAAAGCAGCAGGUUAAUACCCCGCUGUUCUGACGGUACCCAAAGAAUAAGCACCGGCUAACUUCGUGC